rnacentral:lncRNA from 1 species
GGACAGCGCACUGUCAGCCCUGGCUUCCCUUCAAGGUCCUCAGGGCACAAGCUCCCAGCAGCCUCCAUCACCACCUGUUCCUGCAUCUCACCAGGGAAAGGCAGGAGCUAAAUCUCCAUGGAUUUGGCCGUCUGGGGCACAGAAAUGCCACCUGGGUCAAAUGCCUGCUCCUUUCCUCCAGCUGGAAGGCUCAACUCCCUUCCCGGAACUCCUGGAGCCUUUUCUCUGUGUCCCUGCCUCUACGACACAUGAAGCUGCCAACCUUGUGACUGGGUGGCUUGUUUUCUCCUGGCUGCCUCAGCAAGAAUUCUGCGUCUGCUGGGGACACUGCGUUUGGAGUGCUGAAUUGAGAUCCAGACCCUGCAUGUAAGAAAGAUGGAAAAAAUAGAGGAAGUGCUGGUCCUCAGUGGGGAACAAGCAGAGACUCCCACACUACUCCAUAGGGAGAAUCCGCCUUGUGCUCCGGGUCUGCCUCCUCUCCUGUGCAGGAACAUCUACAGCAAUAACCUGGCAUUACCAUGUCCCUAUUGACCAGAAAUCUCCUUGCCAUCAGGGAAUCUCGAGUGAAAUGCUACUGCCUAUUACAGUUCUCCGUGAAAUUAUUGGCACUUCUUUGGAGCAAACAAAUAUUUUUUUCUAGUUUUUUUUUUUUUUUUUUUUUUUUGGCGGGGCGGUGGGCAGCACUCAGAAUGGACUAAACAUCUCCUAGGAGUAUCAGCUUGGGCUAGAUUCUGUGUGGAGGUCCAGAGGGAGGAAAAGUCCUGGUUAUAAUGGAGAAAACAUCCUAGACACAUGGGAGAAAAGACCCAAAAACUAAAAUAGGGAAGUGUAAUGUACCCAGCUCUGCUCACAGCACACGGGAGUUGGCACUGUGUUCAGCUCUGGUGCUCAAUCAAGGUCGAAACAUAACCCAAACAUUGGCAGGCCCAUGGGCCAACUCCCUACAUUUCUGAAAUGGUCUUACUGAGAAUAAGAAAUACAUUUCAUCCCCUAGAAUUUUCUUUAUUCUUUACCACCCAGGCUGCCUCUCUCUUGUGCUGGACAAGACCCAUCUCAUUCCAAGCACACUCGGCCAUGUUGUCUGAGCACUGGUGGAAACCUCUUGUCACCCCCUCCAGAACUCUUUUUUGAGGAGAUUCCCAUAUUUAUUUAGAAGAAAUAUUUGAGUCACUAUGGGUGGAGGGUGACACCUAAGAGAACUGCUUUGUACGGGACAAGAAGGGGAAUAAGUGUCACUUCUGAGAGAGGGGAGUGGGGAGAAGAAAAAGAAAAAGAAAGAAAAGAAGGAAGAAAGAAAGAAAAGGAAAAAGAGGUGAGGGGCAUUUAGAGAUAGAAAUGACCUUGGAGAUCAUCCUGGCUCUGGAGAGGCUUAAUAUGAAUUACUAAAAUUACCAAGUGACUGAUGGGAAUGAGAGUGCUAGGGCAGGGCUGUGUAUUGUGCUCCUGAAUGGGAGAGGCCAGAGACCAUGGCCAGGCUGCAGGAACUGAAAGAAGAUUUGAGCCUGAGUAGCAAUUGUCUCCUUGUUUGUUUUUCCCGCUGGACCUCCUCCUCUGUGGGCUCUGUCUUACUUGUCUAUUUCCAGUGUCCAGUACACUGCCCCAAACAUAGAGGGCCCUCAUUCAAUGUUUUUUAAAGGAAAGAAUGAUGGAAAACUAGACCUUUGCAGAAAAAUCCUCUUAUUUUGCAAGUAACAAAGGGUAAAAUGUAAAUGAGAAUGUUGUAGAAACUGCAAAGUCCCUAUAUUGAUUUCUUCUUAAGUUUUCUGAUUCAUUCGAAGGAAGACAGAGCCAGAUAAACCUUAUAUAAAUGUUGUCCCCUUAAUCUGGAUGAGUCUAACUCAGAUGGAUUGGUCUAUCUCAGAUACACCUCUGCUACAAAGACCCUAAUUGUGUGGCAUCAUGGGAAUAUGAUCUGGAAUCAUAGAAAAUUAGAAUGGAGAGGGGACAUUAGAAAUCUCUUAGACAUAAUCCAAACUCUGCCCCUUAUGUCACUCACCACUUUCUGUUUUUGUUUCCUUGCUUUAUAAAAUGUCUUUUAUUUUGAAACAAGGCCUUUCAGCCUGUCAACAUAAGUGUGUGUUCCACUCAGGAAUAAACUUUAAUUAAAAGCAUGAAACA